rnacentral:rRNA from 1 species
AUGACGUCAAAUCAUCAUGCCCCUUAUGACCUGGGCUACACACGUGCUACAAUGGGCGGUACAAAGGGUCGCGAACCCGCGAGGGGGAGCCAAUCCAGCAAACUUCCCUCAGUUCAGAUUGCAGGCUGCAACCCGCCUGCAUGAAGUUGGAGUUGCUAGUAAACGCAGGUCAGCCAUACUGCGUUGAAUACGUUCCCGGGGCCUU